GACUGCCCAGGCCAGGAGGACAAGGCUCGGGGCAGAUCCCAAGCCUCACCUCCGCCCGCACCGCUGAGAGGACGCCAGCGCUGGGUCGGGUGGUGGAUGCGGAACCCGCCCAGGGCCUGACCCCCAUGGCCGCCCCAGCCUCGCCUGGAGCAAGCAGAACCCUGACAUGGAUGUGGACAAGAACAGGACCCUGGACCUGGACAUGAACAAGCAGUGGCUGUGAGAGGGCUGCUGCCCCAUCCUGACACCCCUGGAGCCCAUGUCCCCCAGCAGCAGGCAGUAAUGAACAGAUGGUGUUUCCAGCUGAGAGAGGAGGACAGCUGGGACUUGCCCAUGGACUACACCAAAAUGAAGUCCUGAAGGAUAGAUGAGGAUGAGUCCAAAAGGAUUGCUGUAUGUCCUUGUCAUUGCCCCCACCUUUGUCCACACAGCAUGUGAAGUUGGCAUCACUGAGGAAAAUGCACUUGGCACACACCUCAGCAGAAUUGUCUUUUCUCUUUGAAUAUGACCUUUAGCUGAUCAGGGCUUAGAGGACUUAAGUUGACCCAGGAGAUAUUUGGAUUGAUUUGAGUGAAACAAACCAUUGACUUUUUUAAAUGAUGGAUUUCAUUUUCUAACAACUGUGUUUUGUAACAAACUAUUUCUCUAAGAAAGUGUAUAAACAGCAUACCAGUUCAUUUUUUUCUGGGUGACAGAGCGAUAUAAGGCAGAAUUUUCCUUUCAGAUGGAGAAUGGUAAUGAGAGUCUUAAAUAUUUAAAUGGUUAACUAUACGCUGUUAAUUACCUAGCUUUUUGAGGCUAAGGACAGGGUCUCUUCUCUAAGAAAUCUAAAAUAUUCAGAAGAGUAGACUCUAGCCUAGAAUGUCAACUUAGUACUGCCACCUAAAUCUUUGUUGACUAUAAUAUUACCAAAGCACCUAUGUCAAGAACAUAUUUCUAAAGUAGUUACAAUUUUGCAAUUCAGAUUAUUAAAAUAGUUAUCCUUUAGGCUAAGAAAGAAGUGAAAAAAAAAGUUUUUUGUUAGCCUGAGUCAAUUCUGAAAAUUAUGGUAUCCUCUUUAUUCCCUGGAAAAUGAACAUUCUUUUUGAACACAAUAGGGAGACCCUGAUCAAAGCAAGAGCAUCUUACAGAAACUGGCAGGCAGAGAAAAAGGAAACAUUUGCCAUUUGUAGGAACUGGCAGGGAAGUCACCUAUCUAUAAGGCUGGUGCUGCUAAAGCCUAUUAUCUUUGUUCUUCAAAUUGAUUUAAGUAUCCAGGCAUCUUAAAGAAUAAAAUCUGAAUGGCCAUCUAAAAUCCAUAGUAUUUUAUUCUGUCAUACAGUGUUAAGUUGCUACUACCAAAUAACACACAGUCGUUGAAUCUCUGGAUUUAUUUUUAUGUAUUUAUUUGGUCUUUUUGCCAUUUCUUGGGCGGCUCUCGCGGCAUAUGGAGGUUCCCAGGCUAGGGGUCCAAUCGGAGCUGUAGCCGCCGGCCUACACCAGAGCCACAGCAACGCAAGACCUGAGCCGCGUCUGCAACCUACACCACAGCUCACUGCAACGCCAGAUCGUUAACCCACUGAGCAAGGGCUGGGACCGAACCCGCAACCUCAUGGUUCCUAGUCGGAUUCGUUAACCACUGCGCCACGACGGGAACUCCUGGAUUUAUUUUAAUUAAAAUUAGUCCCGAAUAAACCGACAGGAGUAUUUCCACCACACAAGUGAAAACUGCACUCAUGAAAACACCACACAAGUGAAAACACCACGCAAGUGAAAACUGCACUCAUGAAACACCUUUGCUGAACACCGCCACCUAGAGGAAUUUUUAGGUUACUGCACGUUGCUGCAGGGGCCCCUGCUUAAUCAGAGUAGCUCCAUUUUGUUUGUUUUUAAGAGUAACUUUAAAUUAAGGCAUUAAUCUCAGUUUGUCUUACUUUGCCUCGGGAUUCAAGGCACAUAGGUAGAAUACUUACCCAAGAUUGGGUGCAGCAUUUAGGCUCUGCCCCAAGGUGUCAGAUAGAGUGCCCCAGGUGCUGAUCUGGGGUGAGUGAGAUCAACUGAGAAGCAGUCCAGGAUGCCUGACUGCUCCCUUUUGCAUCCUGCCUGCACAGCUGCAGGAAUUUGAAGAAGGAAUCUGGACCUGCCCUUGGGUCAGUUACCAGAUUUGGGGAACCAAAUGAAAGCAGGUGAUGAGAAAUCUGAGAAAUUGAUGCCCUGUGGGGGAGGGCUACUCUUUGAACAAAGUGAACCUUCAGGACCAGGGUCUCUGGGUGUGGAGGGGAAGGUUGGGAGAAGUGACCCUGUGGGCAGCCCUCCCCCCAGGCAUGGGUGCAGCCCAGGGUCUGUGUGUGGAACCAGCCUGGGUAUGGCCCAGAAGCUGUGUUUUGCCCACAGCCCAAAGACUCGGAUCCCUUCCAGGAAACACUCAAAGAAAGACAGUAUCCAGGGGAGGUGACCAGCCCAAGCCACGGACCCAAGUACCCCCAGUGCAAGGACAAAAUGGACGUAGGAACUUAAGUGCAAUGCGAGGUGAAACUCUCAUACUUUGGAAGUUCCCUUUCACACUUCUUUCUAAACUGGAUCUGUACAUGCCUUGCGGUUUGAACAUGAGACACAUGACACACACAAUAUUCAGGUGUCCAGACCACCGGUAGUAGGGGUGAGGAUUGCCAUGGACGUGUUUGCUCUUACCAAUGCUCUGUGCUAUGGAGAUGCCAUUGCCAUGUAAUCCCAUGCAUUUUGCAGCUUUUCUCCAGGGUGCUUAAAUCCCUGUGCAGACAUUGCAGCUAAACUGAAAACAAUGAAACUUUUUAAAAAGUUUUUUUUUUAAAAAAACAUACUCAGUAUUUUGACUGUUUUUAUUUGGUGGCAGAUGUCCAACACCAAGGUGUGAUGGGAGUGGUCCUAUGACUGGUAAUUAGCCUCACAUAGAUGUGCCUUCAUUUUUUCUCAUGGUGGAUUCUGUCUUUCAAUUUAUUGUUUUCAGCUUGCCUCAAAAAUGCUGUCCAAGUACAAACAUUGAAUUAUGCAUCAUCCCUUUAAGUGUGGUAUGUUGACCUUUGAAAGCAUGCUGAUUGAUUAUCAUGUGGUAUAAUGUCUAUUUUGAAAUAAACCACCUAAAUUUGGAAAAUUAUUUAUAAA
rnacentral:lncRNA from 1 species